rnacentral:tRNA from 1 species
GGCUUCGUGGCUUAGCUGGUUAAAGCGCCUGUCUAGUAAACAGGAGAUCCUGGGUUCGAAUCCCGGCGAGGCCU